rnacentral:misc_RNA from 3 species
GUGAAGAUUUGGGCAGGCCAUACGGACGCCAAAAAGUGUCCCUGGCCGCCUACACCCACUAUACAUCCACAAACCCGUGUGCACUGUCUUGGAGAAAGGCUUCAGAGAAGUUUUUUGUGGCCUCUCUUGGGGUCUUUCUUCGCUACAAACUCGAAUGGUUAGUAUGAACGUGGAACUUGGUUGGACCGUCACUGGCCAACAAACUAUACA